CUUUGGUCUUAUUUUGUUGGUUUCUAGGACCGAAGUAAUGAUUAAUAGGGACAGUUGGGGGCAUCAGUAUUUAAUUGUCAGAGGUGAAAUUCUUGGAUUUAUGAAAGACUAACUUCUGCGAAAGCACUUGCCAAGGAUGUUUUCAUUAAUCAAGAACGAAAGAUAGGGGAUCGAAGACGAUCAGAUACCGUCGUAGUCCUAUCCAUAAACUAUGCCGACUAGGGAUCAGUGGAUGUAUUUCAAGACUCCAUUGGCACCUUAUGAGAAAUCAAAGUUUUUGGGUUCUGGGGGGUGUAUGGUCGCAAGGCUGAAACUUAAAGGAAUUGACGGAAGACUACCACCAGGAGUGGAGCCUGCGGCUUAAUUUGACUCAACACGGGGAAACUCACCAGGUCCAGA
rnacentral:rRNA from 1 species